GACGAACCGUGCGAACGUUGUUCGGAAUCACUGGGCUUAAAGGGCGCGUAGGCGGCCGGGUUGGUCGUGGGUGAAAUCCCCCAGCUUAACUGGGGAAUUGCCUACGAUACUGCCUGGCUCGAGGGAGGAAGGGGCGGCCGGAACUGUCGGUGGAGCGGUGAAAUGCGUUGAGAUCGACAGGAACGCCGGUGGCGAAAGCGGCUUACUGGGUCUCUUCUGACGCUGAGGUACGAAAGCUAGGGGAGCGAAGGGG
rnacentral:rRNA from 1 species